rnacentral:sRNA from 1 species
AUACCAUGACAUAUUUUGAUGAUUUAAAGAUUAAA